UACGAAGGGGGCUAGCGUUGUUCGGUAUCACUGGGCGUAAAGCGCACGUAGGCGGAUCUUUAAGUCAGGGGUGAAAUCCCGAGGCUCAACCUCGGAACUGCCUUUGAUACUGGGGAUCUCGAGUCCGGGAGAGGUGAGUGGAACUGCGAGUGUAGAGGUGAAAUUCGUAGAUAUUCGCAAGAACACCAGUGGCGAAGGCGGCUCACUGGCCCGAUACUGACGCUGAGGCACGAAGCGUGGGAGCAAACAGG
rnacentral:rRNA from 1 species